UACGUAGGGUGCAAGCGUUAAUCGGAAUUACUGGGCGUAAAGCGUGCGCAGGCGGUUCGCUAAGACCGAUGUGAAAUCCCCGGGCUUAACCUGGGAACUGCAUUGGUGACUGGCGGGCUAGAGUAUGGCAGAGGGGGGUAGAAUUCCACGUGUAGCAGUGAAAUGCGUAGAUAUUGGGAGGAACACCGAUGGCGAAGGCAGCCCCCUGGGUUAACACUGACGCUCAUGCACGAAAGCGUGGGGAGCAAACAGG
rnacentral:rRNA from 1 species